UAGGGAAUCUUCCACAAUGGACGCAAGUCUGAUGGAGCAACGCCGCGUGAGUGAAGAAGGUUUUCGGAUCGUAAAGCUCUGUUGUUGGUGAAGAAGGAUAGAGGCAGUAACUGGUCUUUAUUUGACGGUAAUCAACCAGAAAGUCACGGCUAACUACGUGCCAGCAGCCGCGGUAAUACGUAGGUGGCAAGCGUUGUCCGGAUUUAUUGGGCGUAAAGCGAGCGCAGGCGGAAUGAUAAGUCUGAUGUGAAAGCCCACGGCUCAACCGUGGAACUGCAUCGGAAACUGUCAUUCUUGAGUGCAGAAGAGGAGAGUGGAAUUCCAUGUGUAGCGGUGGAAUGCGUAGAUAUAUGGAAGAACACCAGUGGCGAAGGCGGCUCUCUGGUCUGCAACUGACGCUGAGGCUCGAAAGCAUGGGUGGCGAACAGG
rnacentral:rRNA from 1 species